rnacentral:rRNA from 1 species
UACGUAGGCAGCGAGCGUUGUUCGGAAUUACUUGGCGUAAAGAGUGUGUAGGCGGUGCUCUAAGUUCGGUGUGAAAUCUCCUGGCUUAACUGGGAGGGUGCGCCGGAAACUGGGGUGCUCGAGCGUGGGAGAGGAAAGCGGAAUUCCUGGUGUAGCGGUGAAAUGCGUAGAUAUCAGGAGGAACACCUGUGGUGUAGACAGCUUUCUGGACCAUUGCUGACGCUGAGACACGAAAGCGUGGGUAGCAAACAGG